rnacentral:rRNA from 1 species
CGUAACAAGGUCUCCGUAGGUGAACCUGCGNNNNNAUCAUUACACAAAUAUGAAGGCGGGCUGGAACCUCUCGGGGUUACAGCCUUGCUGAAUUAUUCACCCUUGUCUUUUGCGUACUUCUUGUUUCCUUGGUGGGUUCGCCCACCACUAGGACAAACAUAAACCUUUUGUAAUUGCAAUCAGCGUCAGUAACAAAUUAAUAAUUACAACUUUCAAUAACGGAUCUCUUGGUUCUGGCAUCGAUGAAGAACGCAGCGAAAUGCGAUAAGUAGUGUGAAUUGCAGAAUUCAGUGAAUCAUCGAAUCUUUGAACGCACAUUGCGCCCUUUGGUAUUCCAAAGGGCAUGCCUGUUCGAGCGUCAUUUGUACCCUCAAGCUUUGCUUGGUGUUGGGCGUCUUGUCUCUAGCUUUGCUGGAGACUCGCCUUAAAGUAAUUGGCAGCCGGCCUACUGGUUUCGGAGCGCAGCACAAGUCGCACUCUCUAUCAGCAAAGGUCUAGCAUCCAUUAAGCCUUUUUUUCAACUUUUGACCUCGGAUCAGGUAGGGAUACCCGCUGAACUUAAGCAUAUCA